CUUGGGACUGAACCAUGGGAUUGGGUGUGCACAGAGUGGCCCGCCACAGGGAAUGGGGAUGUCUCUAAGGAGGGACCCAGUGUAGGGUCCAGCCCUACAGGGCCUGUGGGUUUUCUCUUCAUGUGCGGAGACAAGAGAUCGUAGAAAAAUAAAGAUACGAGACAAAGAGAUAGAAGGAAAGACAGCUGGGUCCAGGGGACCACUACCACCAAUGGGCC
rnacentral:lncRNA from 10 species